UACGUAGGGGGCGAGCGUUGUCCGAAUUUACUGGGCGUAAAGCGCGCGUAGGCGGGUUUUUAAGUUGGGGGUGAAAUUCCGAGGCUCAACCUCGGAACUGCCUCCAAAACUGGGAGCCUUGAGGUUUGGAGAGGGAAGUGGAAUUCCUGGUGUAGCGGUGAAAUGCGUAGAUAUCAGGAGGAACACCCAUGGCGAAGGCAGCUUCCUGGCCAUAUCCUGACGCUGAGGUGCGAAAGCUAGGGGAGCGAACGGGAUUAGAUACCCCGGUAGUCCUAGCUGUAAACGAUGGAUACUAGGUGUAAGCGGUAUCGACCCCGCUUGUGCCGAAGCUAACGCAUUAAGUAUCCCGCCUGGGGAGUACGACCGCAAGGUUG
rnacentral:rRNA from 1 species